UGUAGGGUUUGCACCGAGAGCUUCCCUUUGAGCUUCAGGUUUGAAAGGAUGUAAAAAUUCAAAGCAAAGUUCAAUCCAAACAUGCAAGCAUCACCUGGUUUUUGCCUCAAAAUCAUGCAAUGCUGCAAGACUAUGAUAUGAAAUGGGCCCAAAUUGACUCCAAAUUAUUUAGAUCAUUAGUGAACCUCUCUCCAAGAACCUGCUCCAGUAACAAAAGCCAGCACCAAGCAAGUCAUGUGUGAUUUGGUGGUUUCCAUGAAAAGUCUGUGCAUAGCAAUGGGGAAACUGAGGCAGAGUGAUUCCAUGACUUGCCCAAAGCUACAGAGGGAGUAUGUAUCAGAGACAGGAGGAGGAUUUGGGGACUCCUAUCUCCCAAUCCUGCACACAGACCAGCACUGCACUCGGCCAAGCGUUCAGAGGAGAGCCCCAGCUGCUGGAAUCCGAGAUUGCAGGAGAAUUUCGGCUUUCAUGUAACAUAAAAAAGCAAGUGUUCUCCACAACCAGGAGGGCUAGAAAGCUGGGAAACAUGAUGUGAGGCCACACUAAAGGCUUACAAAUCUGGAUGCAAAUUUUAAAACAAAUUAUGAAAAAGAAAAAUCUCAUGAUAUUUAAAUCAAUCUCAUGAUUUUUUGGGGCUGACUCUUGAUUUUUGAAUGCUUGAGGUUGGCAAUACUGGGUCUGAAGCAGGAAGAUCGACAGCCCUUUUGAUAUCGUCCUAGCUGGUGUCACCACAGACUAUUCUCAUUCAUAUAAAUGUCUAAGCUUUUAAUGUUACACCACUAUUGAGCUUAACACUCUACAUGCAGAUAAAGGGAGUCCAUUGGCUCUGACAGCAAUGCUCCCUCACGCGGCCUUAAUUAUAUCUGCUUUCAUAUUUUCUUAAACCUCCAGAAUCUCUCCCUUUUUUAGUGACAGAGUCCCCCCUUUUCAAACUAUGAGCCCUCAAUUCUAUAACAGAGAGCUGUUUCCAGGGAAAAUACGGGACAGGAAACACAAGAGACAAAAAUGUGUCUAGAAAACGUAGUCUUCUCAAUUUACCCCUUCUGUCAAGUAUUCCGAAAUCCCAAAUCUAUAUUGAAAGUGAUUUGCAAAUUAAACCUUAGGCUGUUCAAUAGAGAACCUCGUUUACUCACACAAAUGACUGGGAGACUCACUGCAUUACAAUUCGCUCAGUAUAAAUCACUAGCAUUUUGCACAGUUUUAAAAAAGGAUAAUGCAGCAACAAAAGGUCAUACUUUCAUUUAACUUGACGGGUGCAAUUUAGUUCUAAAUAAGAACUAAAUAACUUUAACUGUGUGCUAAGGCCAAUGUUUUCAAACUGGGGAGCCUAAAGUUAGAUGCAUAAGUAACUAUAAUGGGAGUAGGAGGUGACAAGCUCCUUGGAAAAUCAGGCCACUUAUUUAGGUCUCUGGAUACGGAUUUAGGUCCGUUUGACUAUGCUGGCCUAAAUGCACUUUGUGUGGUAAAGAUUUGUUUUGUUUGAGUAACGAAGACUUAGAAACAGGAGAUCUCACACUGUAGCACCACCUCUGCUAGUAGAGCUUUGCUGAGAAGUUGUGUGAAGUUGCCUUUGCUUGUGUGAACUGCAGUGUGUGUAGAUGAAUGCAGUGAGAAUAAGCCAAGUUCUAAUGUAGUUUCAAAGUGAGCAAAGGGUGGGGAGAGAGGAAAAUCCUCUCCUCUCCCAACUCUGGGCGGUGGAGCUUUAAUACAUAUUCAAAUGCCGCAACUCUUCAUUUUAAGACAUAUUUUUCAGUGCGCUCAGUAAUUGCUUCCCACCAAAUGACCAGCAUCGGGCUGUCUAAUGCAUCAGUGGCAUUGGGUUAAGUUCCUGGGGUGUCAGGGCUGCAUGCCAUCAGGAAACAGGCUGUUUCAAUGCAGCACAGUACCCUGCAAAGGAAUACAUAGGCUGCAUUGUGCCUUUGAAGCAAAGAGCUCUUCAGCAGUUAAAACAAAAAAUUGGGGUGGCAUUUUAAAUGCUCAGCAUUGACUUAACUCUGCUCCCACUGAAGUUGGUGGCCAAUGCUGAGCACGUUGGAAAAUCCCAUCCUUAAUUUCAAAAGCAACAGAAAAAGAGGCUGAAGCACCUUUUUAUUAGUCCUGAAAAUUCGUCUGCUGCUCCAUUCGUAGAGUCAGAUAUGGGCACAACUAGGCCACAUGACACCCUUGAGAUGAUGGGGGAUGGGAGAAGAGUUUUUUGUAUGCAUAGUCAUGGUCAGUCAGCUAACAUGGGAUGAAGGCUAAGUGACCCUGCAUGAGUGAAGUGGAAAGCGAUGGUAGGCAAUACUGUAGUGUCCUUUCCCCCGCCCUUCCUAGAGAACCUCA